CCUGAAGGACCCCCUCCACCUGAAGGACCCCAUCCACCUGAAGGACCCCCUCUACCUGAAGGACCCCCUCUACCUGCAGCUAUCGACUUUUUACUUUUUAUUUCAGCAUUGAAAUGUUGCAAAGGUGUCCUAUAUAUUAUUUUUAUAAAGCGGUCCCCUCGCCAAAACAGACUUUCUUCUUGGUAACAUUUUACAAUAUGGUUACAUAAUAAACCAUGAUUUAACAUUAGUUGAUGCCGUAAUAAGAAUUUGAGAAUAGUAUUAGCAUAGGGCUUAUGUAAGGGUAGAGUUUUAAGUGAUAAAAGAGUUGUAUUAAAUAAAGUCAAAACCCAAUCCACAGCAUGUACAUUGUAUUCUUAUAUAUGUUCACGGCUUUCUUUCUAGUAGGGAAAAAUCACAUUGGAAUAAUUAUACUAAUUGUUCAAUGACAUCACUGUGUCAUGGGAGGAACAGGUGGAUUGUUCCAAUGUUGCAUUAUGGGAAAAUGUACCCAAGCUAAUUUGGGCUAUUUUCAUAUGAUUAUAAGCAGGUAUGCAAUUCCAAUAAAUGGUUUCAGCAUAGAUUUCAAUUUUUUUCCUCCACUGAAACUGAACUGUACUGAAACUGAAACUACUACUUUUUUCUGUGUCAAUUCGACACGUCUGUAGUUUAAAUUCUGACUAGCCUGAAAUACUUAAAAUACUUGAAAUGGCAGUUAUAAAAGAAAACCAAAAUACAACCUGUCAUUUCCAGUACAGUCCCUCUCUCUCCUUCUCCCUCUCCCUGUCUCUGUUUGUCUGUCUUUCUCUCUUUCCUCUCACCCACGACUGACACACUCCACUACUCAGAUGUAAGAGGUCCAUGAGUGAUGAUGGUCAAUGGAAGCCUUUCAUAAUGGAUACACCCUGAAUACAUCAUUUUGCUUUGGAAUCCAUUAUUUAUUUAUGUGUGAGGUAGCUCUCUUCCAUUUAUUUCUGCGUACAGCCUUCUCGUUUCAUUUGACGUGCGUGUGUGUGUGUGUGUGUGUGUGUGUGUGUGUGUGUGUGUGUGUGUGUGUGUGUGUGUGUGUGUGUGUGUGUGUGUGUGUGUGUGUGUGUGUGUGUGUGUGUGUGUGUGUGUGUGUGUGUGUGUGUGUUUGUGCCUGUGAACUGAUCCCUGUAUUGGCCUGUAAGCUGAUUAAAGAGUGGUCACCUCAGCAGAAAACUUUAUAAGUUGCUCACAUUAGUCGUACGAGAAUAACUUACCCUGCUGCCAGAGUCUAAUAUCAGAUACUAUAAACAGCCCAUAAUAAACAUGGGACAAUAUACACCUUAGUAUAGCCACCUUUUAAGGCAGGACACCGAUGCAGCUGGGGCAAGAUGCAGCAUGCAUAAAGUUUCAUACCUGUAAUUGCCAGUUUCCAAAUACAAUCUGUAAGCACCUGAAGCCCAUUUUUAUUUCUUUCGUUUUUUUAUGUCCUCUUUUUGAUAAAUAAUCUCAGGGCCAGGCUGAGGUUCGGCCUACUGCAUGUAGCAUUCGUAAACCAUAUAUAAAUCGAAGCUUUUUUUGAUGAUAUAAUAUUCCAAGAAAGGACUAAUACAACAAAUUAUUUUUCAUCUUAUAUCUGUUUAGAAGUGAUUGUCACAGUUCAAUCUGAUUUAUCCACUCUCAUUAUCAAUCUGUUGUUCCCAGUUCUCGCCUCUUUCCCUUCAUACAGCCUUGCCAAAAACGAUCCUUCCAGGUCAG
ensembl:lncRNA